rnacentral:rRNA from 1 species
AACGCACCUUGCGCCCUCUGGUUAUUCCGGAGGGCAUGCCUGUUUGAGUAUCAUGAACACCUCAACUCCCAUGGUUUGCCAUGGCAGCUUGGACUUUGGAGGCUUUGCUGGCUUAUACUCAGCUCCUCUCAAAUGAAUCAGCUUUCCAGUGUCUGGUGGUUCACGGGUGUGAUAAUUAUCUACACCUGUGGUUUUCUGCUGGGUAACCUUCAGCGAUGAAGGUUCACUGGGGCUCAUAGAUGUCCUCCUCAGCGAGGACAGCUCUUUGAACGUUUGAUCUCAAAUCAGGUAGGACUACCCGCUGAACUUA